CUCAUUACUGCUGAAGAUAGUCAGAGGAGCUGUUGUUUCUCUAAGCUGAUCUUUCACAGGCUUAAAGAGGUGCUUGAAAACCGGACAAAAACUACAUCUCUGAAAAAUGAACCAUCAUCAAAACCCUAGAUGCUGGACAUGUGGGCAUGAUUGUUAUUCUUAUGGACAAAGACAAGUGAAACCUACUCAGCAUUCUGAACAUUCCUAUAGGCGGAGUUUCUGACAUUCGAUUAUAUAGAUCUCUGUAGGAAAUAAGUUGCGUCUCUUUGCCUUCACAACUUUGCAGAGGAACAUUACCAACUAAAAUGGCAACCAAAUCCUGUGAUAAAUGUGGGUUGAUGAAAAACUACAAUGGAUCAUUACCGUAUAAAUGUAAGUGUGACCCUGAGGAACAGCCCAACCCCUUUCCUCUGGCAUUGUUUCAGUCAAACAACAGCGUCCAGAGGUCCAUGGCCGCACCAAGAAACGGGAUAAUGACACGAUAUCACAACAACAUUGAACAAGGUGUUCAAACAUAUCAACGUGCAGUCGUGAGGAACGGGGUGACUGUUGAAAUUGAAGAGUACAGGUUUUCAAACUAUUAAAGGCAGAUUAAGUCACCACAUCAAUGUAAUAAUUCAUGUAAUGAAAUUCUAAGUAGCCUACUUGUGAGUGUUUAUAAGUUAUAUGCUGUGUAUUCUCAGUGAUUUCUUUUGUCAGUUAAUUGAGUUGGAAAUCCAUAAUUUGUUGACAUGUUGCCAUUAAAACUUAUUUGAACUAACUUUUCAUGAUAUUUUAUUUAAGUUUUUCAUUACUAGGGAUUAGGGAGGAAUUGAUCGAUUAAAGGCUGCUUGAAAAUAUGUAAAUGUUAUGAAAAUGUAUUUCUGUGCUGUUCCAUAUCUUAUGAAGUAUAUAACACAUAAUAUUAUGAUGACUGCUCUGCUUCAACUAAAUUAGAUGUUGAUUCUGUAUACUUAUGUGCUUUGCUAUACUGUAAUUUAAUAUGGCGUUUCUCACAACUCUGAGUCAUGACAUCAACUUUUAGCUCAUGUAAGGAUUGAUAAGUGAAACGCUGUGUAUACUGAGUGAUUUCUUUUGACAAUAAACUGGUGUGUUGACAUUGCCA